AUAACGUAACGGUGAAGUGACAUGGGAAGAUGCGCCUACAGUGGCUACUUCCAAACCAGUACUUAGUGGGUGGCUAGCAGUGGAACGUAUUUCUUCAGACUGGGUGUUGGAACGUGUUAACAAAGUUUGUAAUGCUAAAGCCAUUUGGUCCAUUCUAUGGUCCAUGGCCUCAAAUCUGGGGUCAGGAGGACUAGCACCUGCAGGAUCCAUUUGGCCCUGUCGUAAUGUCAGGAUACUGACAGGGAUCCAAUACGCAGAGUGCGGACAGAAGGAGGUACGUAUACCGGACCUUAGAAUGGCCGGACUAACGUAGGGACAAAACAAGAAUAGUCAAAAGGUAAGCCGAGGUCGAGGGAGCCGGAGGACAGGUAAGCGAGAUACAAGCCGAGUCAAAGGAGAGGAGAGGACAACAGGACAAAAGACAAGCAAGGGUCAAAACCGGAAACACUAAGAGAAAGAACGCGCUGAGUGACUAGCAAGCUAGAACCACGACAGGGCAAUGAGCAGUAGUAAAGGUUUCCUUUAAAUACCCUGUUACCUAAAUUGAGACCACGCCCCCAAAAGGUCCGGAAUAGCGGUUCCCGGCACUUCACGUAAAUGCCGACGUCAUGACGUCGACGCUAGCCGUCGCGUCAUAAAAGGGGGAGGAGCUAGCGCGGCCGGCGCGAAAACGGCCGAAAUAUGCCGAAAUGCUAGGGGCAGGGAGCCCCUAAACAGAGAGGAUGUCUUCCCUGGAUUCAGCACCAACAGGUACCCUGACAGCAGCAAAGAAAAAACUUUAUAAACAUAACCAAUGAUAACAUUAACAGUCUCAGGUGUAUUCUUCCCAGUAACAGGAACAGCCAAUCAGG